CAAUAGCGUAUAUUAAAGUUGUUGCAGUUAAAAAGCUCGUAGUUGAAUUUCGGGUCCCCGCGCUCGGCGCUUCAUUGUGCCGUCGUGGUGUCCCUCCUCGCCGUAAGGCGUCCUUUACUGUGAAAAAAUUAGAGUGUUCAAAGCAGGCAAUCGCUUGAAUACAUUAGCAUGGAAUAAUAAGAUAGGAUCUUGUCUAUUUUGUUGGUUGCGGACAACGAUAAUGAUUAAUAGGGAUAGUUGGGGGUGUCCGUAUUGAGCUGUCAGAGGUGAAAUUCUUGGAUUUGCUCAAGACGAACUACUGCGAAAGCAUUCACCAAGGAUGUUUUCAUUAA
rnacentral:rRNA from 1 species